UACAGAGACUGCAAGCGUUAUUCGGAUUCACUGGGCGUAAAGGGUGCGCAGGCGGCCAAGUGUGUGAGGCGUGAAAGCCUGGGGCUUAACCCCAGAAUUGCACCUCAAACUACUUGGCUAGAGCAUUGGAGAGGGUAGCAGAAUUCAUGGUGUAGCAGUGAAAUGCGUAGAUAUCAUGAGGAAUACCAGAGGCGAAGGCGGCUACCUGGGACAAUUGCUGACGCUCAGGCACGAAAGCGUGGGGAGCAAAAGGG
rnacentral:rRNA from 1 species